GUAGGGAAUAUUGCGCAAUGGACGAAAGUCUGACGCAGCGACGCCGCGUGAGUGAUGAAGGCCUUAGGGUCGUAAAGCUCUGAUGAAUGGGAAGAAAAAAAUGACGGUACCAUUCGAGGAAGGACCGGCUAACUUCGUGCCAGCAGCCGCGGUAAUACGAGGGGUCCUAGCGUUGUUCGGAAUCAUUGGGCGUAAAGGGUGUGUAGGUGGCCAUGUAAGUCAGGUGUGAAAGCCCCGGGCUCAACCCGGGAAGUGCACUUGAUACUGCGUGGCUUGAGUACCGAAGAGGGUAGUGGAAUUCCAGGUGUAGUGGUGAAAUACGUAGAUAUCUGGAGGAACACCGGUGGCGAAGGCGGCUACCUGGUCGAGUACUGACACUGAGACACGAAAGCAUGGGGAUCAAACAGGAUUAGAAACCCGGGUAGUCC
rnacentral:rRNA from 1 species